GCCUGGGUGGCUCAACGGUACCGCGUGUCAUCUUGGACUUUUGUCAGGUUGCCAGUUCGAAGCUGGCCUUGGGGA
rnacentral:tRNA from 1 species